AGACGGGGGGUGCUAGCGUUGUUCGGAAUUACUGGGCGUAAAGGGCGCGUAGGCGGCUCUGCGAGUCGGGCGUGAAAUCCCGGGGCUCAACCCCGGAACGGCGCUCGAUACUGCGGGGCUGGAGACCGGAAGAGGAGGGUGGAAUUCCCAGUGUAGAGGUGAAAUUCGUAGAUAUUAGGAGGAACACCGGUGGCGAAAGCGGCUCUCUGGUCCGGUUCUGACGCUGAGGCGCGAAAGCGUGGGGAGCAAACAGGAUUAGAAACCCUAGUAGUCC
rnacentral:rRNA from 1 species